UACGUAGGGUGCAAGCGUUAAUCGGAAUUACUGGGCGUAAAGCGUGCGCAGGCGGUUCGUUGUGUCGGCGGUGAAAGCCCCGGGCUUAACCUGGGAAUGGCCGUUGAAACUGGCGAACUGGAGUGUGGCAGAGGGGGGUGGAAUUCCGCGUGUAGCAGUGAAAUGCGUAGAGAUGCGGAGGAACACCGGUGGCGAAGGCGGGUCUCUGGGCCGAUACUGACGCUGAGGAGCGAAAGCAUGGGUAGCGAACAGG
rnacentral:rRNA from 1 species